GCAGUCGAACGAUGAACCUCGCUUGCGGGGGGAUUAGUGGCGAACGGGUGAGUAACACGUGAGUAACCUGCCCUUAACUCUGGGAUAAGCCUUGGAAACGGGGUCUAAUACUGGAUAUUGACUUUUCCUCGCAUGGGGAUUGGUUGAAAGAUUUAUUGGUUUUGGAUGGACUCGCGGCCUAUCAGCUUGUUGGUGAGGUAAUGGCUCACCAAGGCGACGACGGGUAGCCGGCCUGAGAGGGUGACCGGCCACACUGGGACUGAGACACGGCCCAGACUCCUACGGGAGGCAGCAGUGGGGAAUAUUGCACAAUGGGCGAAAGCCUGAUGCAGCGACGCCGCGUGAGGGAUGACGGCCUUCGGGUUGUAAACCUCUUUCAGUAGGGAACAAGGCCAGUGUUUAGCUGGUUGAGGGUACUUGCAGAAGAAGCGCCGGCUAACUACGUGCCAGCAGCCGCGGUAAUACGUAGGGCGCAAGCGUUAUCCGGAAUUAUUGGGCGUAAAGAGCUCGUAGGCGGUUUGUCGCGUCUGCCGUGAAAGUCCGGGGCUCAACCCCGGAUCUGCGGUGGGUACGGGCAGACUAGAGUGAUGUAGGGGAGACUGGAAUUCCUGGUGUAGCGGUGAAAUGCGCAGAUAUCAGGAGGAACACCGAUGGCGAAGGCAGGUCUCUGGGCAUUAACUGACGCUGAGGAGCGAAAGCAUGGGGAGCGAACAGGA
rnacentral:rRNA from 1 species